rnacentral:rRNA from 1 species
UACGUAGGGGGCAAGCGUUGUCCGGAAUUAUUGGGCGUAAAGAGCUCGUAGGCGGUCUGUCGCGUCGGCUGUGAAAACCUGGGGCUCAACCCCGGGCCUGCAGCCGAUACGGGCAGACUAGAAUUCGGCAGGGGAGACUGGAAUUCCUGGUGUAGCGGUGAAAUGCGCAGAUAUCAGGAGGAACACCGGUGGCGAAGGCGGGUCUCUGGGCCGAUAUUGACGCUGAGGAGCGAAAGCGUGGGGAGCAAACAGG